rnacentral:pre_miRNA from 1 species
AAUAAGUGCAGUUUUGCACUAUUUACGUUCAACGUUUGACCGUCCGUCUUAUUUGAAAAUUUUUUAUGAUUAGUAUUUUUAUUGCUAUUAGAUGAUAAAACAUGAAUAGUACUUUAUGUGUGACUAAAUGUUUUUAAUUUUUUCACAAAUUUUUCAAAUAAGACGGACGGUCAAACGUUGAACGUAAAUAGUGCAAAACUGCACUUAUU